rnacentral:rRNA from 1 species
UACAGAGGGGGCGAGCGUUGUUCGGAAUUACUGGGCGUAAAGGGCGCGUAGGCGGCCUUCUAAGUCGAACGUGAAAUCCCCGGGCUCAACCCGGGAACUGCGUCCGAUACUGGAAGGCUUGAAUCCGGGAGAGGGAUGCGGAAUUCCAGGUGUAGCGGUGAAAUGCGUAGAUAUCUGGAGGAACACCGGUGGCGAAGGCGCAUCCUGGACCGGCAUUGACGCUGAGGCGCGAAAGCCAGGGGAGCAAACGGG